GACGAACGCUGGCGGCGUGCCUAAUACAUGCAAGUAGAACGCUGAAGAGAGGAGCUUGCUCUUCUUGGAUGAGUUGCGAACGGGUGAGUAACGCGUAGGUAACCUGCCUUGUAGCGGGGGAUAACUAUUGGAAACGAUAGCUAAUACCGCAUAACAAUGGAUGACACAUGUCAUUUAUUUGAAAGGGGCAAUUGCUCCACUACAAGAUGGACCUGCGUUGUAUUAGCUAGUAGGUGAGGUAAUGGCUCACCUAGGCGACGAUACAUAGCCGACCUGAGAGGGUGAUCGGCCACACUGGGACUGAGACACGGCCCAGACUCCUACGGGAGGCAGCAGUAGGGAAUCUUCGGCAAGGGGGGCAACCCUGACCGAGCAACGCCGCGUGAGUGAAGAAGGUUGUCGGAUCGUAAAGCUCUGUUGUAAGUCAAGAACGGGUGUGAGAGUGGAAAGUUCACACUGUGACGGUAGCUUACCAGAAAGGGACGGCUAACUACGUG
rnacentral:rRNA from 1 species